rnacentral:rRNA from 1 species
GACUGAACGCUGGCGGCAGGCCUAACACAUGCAAGUCGAACGGUAACAGGAAGAAGCUUGCUUCUUUGCUGACGAGUGGCGGACGGGUGAGUAAUGUCUGGGAAACUGCCUGAUGGAGGGGGAUAACUACUGGAAACGGUAGCUAAUACCGCAUAACGUCGCAAGACCAAAGAGGGGGACCUUCGGGCCUCUUGCCAUCGGAUGUGCCCAGAUGGGAUUAGCUAGUAGGUGGGGUAACGGCUCACCUAGGCGACGAUCCCUAGCUGGUCUGAGAGGAUGACCAGCCACACUGGAACUGAGACACGGUCCAGACUCCUACGGGAGGCAGCAGUGGGGAAUAUUGCACAAUGGGCGCAAGCCUGAUGCAGCCAUGCCGCGUGUAUGAAGAAGGCCUUCGGGUUGUAAAGUACUUUCAGCGGGGAGGAAGGGAGUAAAGUUAAUACCUUUGCUCAUUGACGUUACCCGCAGAAGAAGCACCGGCUAACUCCGUGCCAGCAGCCGCGGUAAU